rnacentral:rRNA from 1 species
AUUGAACGCUGGCGGCAGGCUUAACACAUGCAAGUCGAGCGGAGAGAGGUAGCUUGCUACUGAUCUUAGUGGCGGACGGGUGAGUAAUGCUUAGGAAUCUGCCUAUUAGUGGGGGACAACAUUUCGAAAGGAAUGCUAAUACCGCAUACGUCCUACGGGAGAAAGCAGGGGAUCUUCGGACCUUGCGCUAAUAGAUGAGCCUAAGUCGGGUUAGCUAGUUGGUGGGGUAAAGGCCUACCAAGGCGACGAUCUGUAGCGGGUCUGAGAGGAUGAUCGGCCACACUGGGACUGGGAGACGGCCAAGACUCCUGAGGGAGGCAGCAGUGGGGAAUAUUGGACAAUGGGCGCAAGCCUGAUCUAGCCAUGCCGCGUGUGUGAAGAAGGCCUUAUGGUUGUAAAGCACUUUAAGCGAGGAGGAGGCUACUUUAGAUAAUACCUAGAGAUAGUGGACGUUACUCGCAGAAUAAGCACCGGCUAACUCUGUGCCAGCCGCCGCAGUAA